rnacentral:rRNA from 1 species
AGGAUGAACGCUGGCGGCGUGCCUAACACAUGCAAGUCGAACGUCCUGUCUCGCAAGAGGCAGGGAGUGGCGGACGGGUGAGUACCACGUGGGUCAUCUACCGUGAGGUGAGGAAUACCGGCGAGAAAUCGCCGACAAGACCGCAUAGGCUCGAUGCAAGUCGAGCAAAGCUCUUUCGAGAGAGGGAGCGCCACACGAGGAGCCUGCGCCCGAUUAGCUAGCUGGUGGAGUAACGGUUCACCAGGGCGACGAUCGGUAGCUGGUCUGAGAGGACGAUCAGCCACACUGGGAUUGAGAACGGCCCAGACUCCUACGGGGGCAGCAGUGAGGAAUUUUCGUCAAUGGGGGCAACCCUUAACGAGCAACGCCGCGUGCAGGAAGAAGGUUUUCGGAUCGUAAACUGCUUUUCUCGGGGAAGAGAAUGGACGGUACCCGAGGAACUCAACCCGGCUAACUACGCGCCAGCAGCCGCGGUAA